GUUUGAUGAAUUUUGAUUUGAUCACCGAAUUUUUCUUAAUUUCGGUUAAGUAAAUGCUCACCCUGGACCGGGUCUGCUGUUUGAAACAGAAAGGUGGUUUAUGAUUCACCGAGACAGACUUCACGUCAUAGUCCUGUCAUUGUUUCUCUGAGCUCAAAUGGCUCGAGUUAUAAUAGACGGAAAAGCUUUCCUGUUGAUAAAUUGUGUAUUGAUAUGUUUGAAUUUGAAAAUAAUUGUGAAAAGUUUGGAUUGACGCUCAAAGCUUCUGUUAAAUCACGAGAGAAAGGCGAGACGAGGAAGACGACAGCCGAACGACUGACACUCGGUUUCUAUGUAUUUGGUAGGAUAUCUCUGUUUUGUGGUCCCCUCAAUUGUAGUCUCAAUUAACAGAAGUUUGGCUUUAUUAGGGUUUGGAUUGUUUCGUGCUGAAAUUCAGAGUUGAGGGGUGUCCAAAAUAACAACCUCUGUUGCAACCAUUACCUUCACUUGAGGAAGAAUGAUUUGAAUAUUCUCUGUUGAUUAAACUUUCGUAUGUUCUAUCAUGAACUUGAGAUUUAUUAUUAUUCUUGUUCUGGGAAUAUUUUAAGAUUUGAGUCAUUGAGUCUGUGUUGCAUUCAUAAGGUAGGAGGCUGGCGUUCUGUCAGUAAGCAUGUUUGUUUUGGACUAGCAUUUUAGAAUGAAUAUUGAUUUAAUGGCGUGUAUCAAUUGCAUGUUCUGAUUUCAGUCAUACUCCUAGUCUACAUGGUUCACGCAUCCCUUAAUUUUUUUUCUCAAUUUAGUACAUGUCUGUGUUUAAUAAACUUGCCAUUACCAUAAUAAAAGUUCGUGAAUACUUUUAAUUUUCUCUUUCAGAAUGUGAAUGCUUUAAUUUUCAGUUGUUGCUUGAUGCUACACUUGAUGAAUACACUACAGGCCAAUAAUAAUUAUUAUUAUUAUUAUUUUUCUUUGUAUUGCAUUAGUUACUGUUUGAGUUAUGUAGGACCUUUCAGUUACCCUGAUAUUGUUUUUGAUGAGGAGUGGAGUACUGGCACUUAUUUUGUCUGAAAAUCAGUGUAGGGCGCAUCUCUAUUUUUUAUUGCUUACUUUAUCAGGAAGUAAAGUUAUCAUUUAUGUACUGCUUUUUACAUCAUACAGAUUUAAGUGCGUAUGAAAUAUCAAAUUACGUAUAUUUUUGCUGAGGAGUUAAAUUCAUCAGCGUAUCUAAAUUUAAGUUUUCUAGCAAUAUUUUUGAAUGAAACUUGCCAAUUUCUCCUCCAUGUUCCCUUGCAAUGUUCCUUUUACCCUGCACAUUGGCCAUGAGGAAGCAAAUUAUAGAUUCAGUUGAAGGAUAAUUUUCCCUAUUUUUUUAAUUGAAGGGAGGGAAGGGAAUGCCACCUCCUGCAUUAUAAGCAAGCACUUGAUUAGUAGGCCUAAUGGUGAUAGACUUUUGAGUGGCAGUUCAGAUUCAUUCAUGAUCUUCUGUUUUAGAAGAUGAUGGAAUCAAAUGGUGGCUUCUGUGAAGAAUUCACCAUUAUACAUGUUGACUGUUGCAUUGUUAAACUGUUAAUUAUUACUGCUAUACUUGGCAUCUGCUGGGAUGUACCUCAAAUUGUUUGAUUUGAUCAUGUGUCAUGUAUGUGUCUCCUAGCUAAGGGAUCAUUUUCACAGAAGGUUUUCUUUCUACUACUGGGGGAAAGACCUACGGGGUCCUCCUUGAUCUUAGUUUUGACAGCAGGCUUUUCUUCUUGGUCUUAGUUUUUAGCGCUGCCUUUAUGCCUCCUUAAUUAUUGAGAUCAAAUCUGUUGAUGUGUCUAAGCAACAGAUUUAUCCAGACCACGGUUUUUGCCUUUUAGGUUAUUUGUAUUUGGUUCCUAUUUACUGUAUUUGGUUUUAAAAUUUGAUGAUAACAGAGAGGUCCACUGGCCAGAUUUGAUGAGAUAAGGUAUUCUGGAUGUUUUAAUCAAUUUUUUUUAAUUCUUUUACAAACAAUUUCAAAAUUACAAUUCAGAUGUAGAACUCAAGUUGCAUUUUUUUUUUUCCAUUUUGAGAUUUAAUAUCACAUUAAAAGAAACAGGAAAAAAAUAAUCAUUCACCUUGCAUUCGUUGCCUUUUAAAGGUUUAUAUUUUCUAUUCCCUAUUGACAGAACUCAUAUGAGCAGUCCCAUUAAUGCUAUCUGAAAGCACUUGAUGGAUGCUGCUUCGAUUACAUCCUGGACACUUUGAUAAAUGAAUGGGGAAACUGUUAAAGCAGGUUUUUGUUCUCCAUCUACCAUUGAAGGCUUUUAUUUGCAUCAAUGAGUUGAUUGACCCUUAGUAGCUCCUGUGAGCAGUUCUGGUGGUUCCAGAAGAACCCAUUAUUCAGAUCUUUUGGCUGCUAGCUCGGUCAAAUAUUUCCUUAGGAUUUAGGAUCCUUGUAGGAUUGCCUUUUCAAAUGCUGGAAUAAGGGAUAUUUACGUGAUACCUUUGGCAAGAGGAACAUAUGGGAAAUUGCUUCUGGUGGAGAAACAUCAGUUCUACAGUCAACAGGCAGUUAUAAUUGCAAUUGCUUCAUUGGCGGGGUUGAGUAAAAAGGUAGAUGAGUAUCAUCCCACAUGGUUGCUAUCGCAGGAUAAGCGAGUUUGACCCAAGAUUAAAUACAAGUGGAUCAUGCAGCAGAGGGGAGAUGGACUUCGUUUUCAAAAUGCUAAGCAUGUGAGGCUGGUUGAUUGCCCAUACUCGGGGAAAUCAAUUAGCAGAGAUCUGUCAGGAGUUCAAUGCACCAUGCUUCAAUACAGUUCAGAUAGUAAUGAGGGAAGCUCUAAUGAGAGGAUUUAUAGGGUAGACAUGGAGACUGAAAGUGGUACCAGUAAACACUGAUAUUUGAAGGGUCUUUGUAUGAAACAGGUAAAAGUCGAAGAUGAUUGAGGAAUGAAAGGGAGAUCUCUCGUUUUCUGUGUGUGGAGAAGAGAAACUGUACAUGUUUUAAUUUAUUUUUUUGUUCAUAUCGAAAUGCAUAGAUAAUAUGAGUAGUAAUGUAUAGCUCUCCUUUCUAUGCAAAGCCACGCUAGGGAAUAUAAGACUAGUGACCUAAACAUGGGCCACCAACAAAGCUAAACAUACCCUCCACCACCUCCUUAACUCUCCGAAGAAGAAGAUGGUUGAUAAAGAAAGUUCCUUUAGUACUCUUCCUUAUAUGAGUUAUUCAACGCUCGAUUUUGAUAAAAAAGUUUACAAAAUAAAGAAAAAAAAUAGUAAGUGAUUUAUCGAGAAUGCUUUCCGGUGAUGUUCAAAUUAGAUUUAAAGAUAUGAAAAUUUUUAUACUAAAAUUUUAAUGGUAGGAGAUGUAGGGAGAAAACAAUGGAGAUGAGAAGAGGAAAAAGAAGCUGGAGAAGAAAAGAGGACAGAAGAGACCUCUUACCAAGGUCAGUUGGACCUAAUCUAAAGAAGUCCUUUAUAUUUUACUUAAUUUAUUUUAUGGAGGGAUGUGAGAAUAGAUUUUGAUAUAUUUUUUGGUGAAUUUAUUUUUUAAUUAAAAUAAUAUUGUAAUUUUUAUACAUUAUCAAUGAUGAUAAUGAAUGUCAUGUAUUUAUUUGAGGCAUAGGCAUGCACGUUGAACACAAAUCCUUCUUGCAUGUUUUUGAAAAUAAAAACUUAAUUUGCACUUUUGAUGUAUAAGUGAGAUUUUAUGAUUUGGUCUCUAUCAAUACAAUCUUGUGGAGGGGAGGAUGAGAAAAAAUUUGUAAUUAUUAGGUGGUCGGAGAUGGGGGAUGAGCAUUUGCCCCAUUGAAGUGGGGACUGAGGUGAUGAAUGUCCUGUUGUUGGAGCAUUAGGGCCACACACUUGGUCAUAUAUCAUAUGACCAUCCCUUUGCUAUUGUCAUAUCAUACUACCUGACAACAACUAAAACAAUAAAGAAAAAAAAAUAAUUGAUAAAGAUAACCAUCUUAAUCUUUAUAUUCGAAUUAUCCAGGCACAAAAAACUUAAAAUUACUAGAUAUUCG